UACGGAGGGAGCUAGCGUUAUUCGGAAUUACUGGGCGUAAAGCGCACGUAGGCGGCUUUGUAAGUUAGAGGUGAAAGCCUGGAGCUCAACUCCAGAAUUGCCUUUAAGACUGCAUCGCUUGAAUCCAGGAGAGGUGAGUGGAAGUUCCGAGUGUAGAGGUGAAAUUCGUAGAUAUUCGGAAGAACACCAGUGGCGAAGGCGGCUCACUGGACUGGUAUUGACGCUGAGGUGGCGAAAGCGUGGGGAGCAAACAGG
rnacentral:rRNA from 1 species